rnacentral:rRNA from 1 species
GUUGUCGGGUCUUCAUUGACUUGGUAACGAAGCUAACGCGUGAAGUUGACCGCCUGGGGAGUACGGUCGCAAGAUUAAAACUCAAAGGAAUUGACGGGGACCCGCACAAGCGGUGGAUGAUGUGGAUUAAUUCGAUGCAACGCGAAAAACCUUACCUACCCUUGACAUGUACGGAAUCCUGCUGAGAGGUGGGAGUGCCCGAAAGGGAGCCGUAACACAGGUGCUGCAUGGCUGUCGUCAGCUCGUGUCGUGAGAUGUUGGGUUAAGUCCCGCAACGAGCGCAACCCUUGUCCCUAGUUGCUACGCAAGAGCACUCUAGGGAGACUGCCGGUGACAAACCGGAGGAAGGUGGGGAUGACGUCAAGUCCUCAUGGCCCUUAUGGGUAGGGCUUCACACGUCAUACAAUGGUCGGAACAGAGGGUUGCCAAGCCGCGAGGUGGAGCCAAUCCCAGAAAACCGAUCGUAGUCCGGAUCGCAGUCUGCAACUCGACUGCGUGAAGCUGGAAUCGCUAGUAAUCGCGNGAUCAGCAUGCCGCGG